UUUUAUAGCUAUGUGCCACCAUGCCUACCUUAAUUUUUUUUUUCUUUCUAGACAAUGUCUCACUAUGUAUCACUGGCUGGAACGCCUAUGUAAACCAGGCUGGCCUCAAACUCACAGAGCUCUUCCUGCCUCUGCUGAUAGGGAUGUCCUUCUGUAUGCAGUAAAUAUAUGUCUCUCUCAUUGGUUGAUAAAUUAAGCUGUUUUGGCUAAUGGACAGGCAGGAUGGAGCCAGGCAGGAAGGGAAUACCAGACUAGGAGAAUUCUGGGAGGAGGAAGGCAGAGAGUGAGUCCUGGGAGAGAUACCAUGUAGCUACCAGGAAGAUAGAACUCUGGGCAUUCUCUGGUAAGCCAAGGCCACGUGGAGAUACAUAGAUUACUAGAAAUGGGUUAAUAGUUAAGAGAGAGCUAGCCAAUAAGAAGCCUGAGCCAUUGGCCAAACAUUCUGUAAUUAAUAUAAGCCUCUGUGUGUUUAUUGACUGAACGGCUGCAGGACUGGAUUAAAGGCAUGCACCACCACACCCCACACUGGAUAUAUUCUGCUCCACCCUUAGGUGUAUGUAGCAGGAGGUCCUAUACACGAGUCCACAGAGGGACUCUUAAAUCCUGUUCACAGCAGUCUGUUCCUGGUGGCAGAAAUCUGGAAACGGCCCGAGCACACUUGCUGAGAGGAGAAUGGAUGAAUGAAUUGCACACCCAUAGAGCAGAGUACUACUCUGCCAUUAAAAUAAAUGAGCAGCAUGCGGAAACAGCAUUGGGGACUCUCCAAAACAGCAUGUUGCUCUAAAGAAGCCAGACACAAAGACUGCACACUGUGAUCUACCAAGGCAAAUGAACCCACAGCAGAGGAAGUGGCUUGGUGGCUGCUGCCUGCCACGGGAACAGGAGACGUCGACGGCAGUGGGAGGGACCCAUCUGUGAGAUGAAGGGCUUCUGCACCCAAACUUCUCUUGAGGAAAAACUGCUUCAGAAGGUUAAUAGACAGAUGGACAGAAGGCAAAUUCGCUCCAGAGAGCACAGCCACCUGGUUCAUCUCGUCGAUUUUCCGAGAGACUUUCACAAGUUAAUGUGCCGUCAACAACAGACUCCGUGGUCUGCAGAGUUCAGCUCCCUGUGGAAGUUCUGGAAAGUUUAUGAAGCACACUCCUCAGUGAGGCAUGGAGUAACAAGUGACUCGGCAACUCUGGAGCCUCCCUGCUUGCACUGUCCAUCAGAGCCAGUUACAGUUACAGUUACAAACAUGUGGUGGAAAUGCCCACCGUGUUCCAUCCUCACGCAGCCUCUCUCCUUGUUACCUAUGAAUGGCUUGCGGCCAUAUCUGUCCCCUGGAGAACAGCCUGGUUCAGCGCAUCCAGGGUGA
rnacentral:lncRNA from 1 species